CAACACAUGAGUGGGCUGCUUCAUCCACAGGCCCUAGCUGGUUAAUCUGACGAAAAGUCAGUUCUGCCUGAGUCAGUGGACUGCAACACCAGCACUUUCAUCUGCCCUGAGCUCCAUUUCUCCUUCAGCGCCUCUAGGAUUUCUGAGUCACCACAUUCCUUUCUUCUACAUUCUAUUACUGAGAGAGUUCCUUUAUGGAUAUAAAAGAGAAGGAACAACACAAAAGAAAGUUUCCUACACAAACCAUUAGCUGAGCUCCCUGCCGCCUGUCUCUCCAGAUCUUAUGUUCUUGGAAGUUUAAGUAAUCAUUUCUCAGAGAUGCUAUAAGAAGGUACCAGAAAUUGUGUAGCUUGAACAACAGAAAUCAAUGAUCUCAGAAUUCUGGAGGCUGGAAGCUCAAGGAUUUGGUGUCACCAGAGCUGACUCCCUCUGAAGGCUGUGAGAAUCUGUUCCCCACUUGUCGUCUACCUUCUGGAUUGCUUCUUAUCUUUGGUGUUCUUUGACUUGUAGGGGCAUCAUUCUGAUUGCCUUCAGUGUCACAGGCAUCCAUCCCUGUCCCCAUGACACCAAUAUUGCAUCCUUUUUAAUAAAGACAUCAGUAAUAGUGGG
rnacentral:lncRNA from 1 species